rnacentral:rRNA from 1 species
UACAGAGUCUGCAAGCGUUAUCCGGAUUCACUGGGCGUAAAGGGUGCGCAGGCGGCCAUGUGCGUCAGGUGUGAAAGCCCGAGGCUCAACCUCGGAAUUGCGCCUGAAACUACAUGGCUAGAGUACUGGAGAGGGUAGCGGAAUUCAUGGUGUAGCAGUGAAAUGCGUAGAUAUCAUGAGGAACACCAGAGGCGAAGGCGGCUACCUGGACAGUUACUGACGCUCAGGCACGAAAGCGUGGGGAGCAAAAGGG